CCUACGGGAGGCAGCAGUGAGGAAUAUUGGUCAAUGGGCGCUAGCCUGAACCAGCCAAGUAGCGUGAAGGAUGACUGCCCUAUGGGUUGUAAACUUCUUUUAUGUGGGAGUAAAGUGCAGUAUGUAUACUGCUUUGCAUGUACCUUAUGAAUAAGGAUCGGCUAACUCCGUGCCAGCAGCCGCGGUAAUACGGAGGAUCCGAGCGUUAUCCGGAUUUAUUGGGUUUAAAGGGAGCGUAGGCGGGUUGUUAAGUCAGUUGUGAAAGUUUGCGGCUCAACCGUAAAAUUGCAGUUGAUACUGGCAGCCUUGAGUACAGUAGAGGUAGGCGGAAUUCGCGGUGUAGCGGUGAAAUGCUUAGAUAUCACGAAGAACUCCGAUGGCGAAGGCAGCCUGCUGGACUGUAACUGACGCUGAGGCUCGAAAGUGUGGGUAUCGAACAGGAUUAGAUACCCGUGUAGUC
rnacentral:rRNA from 1 species